GUUUAUAAUUUUAAAUUUUAAAUUUUAAAUUUUAAAUUCAAUUUUAAUUUUAAAUUUUGAUAUGUUAAAUAUUUAAAAUUUAAAAUUUUAUAUUUUAUAUUUUUCAAAUUUAAAUUUAAUUUUAUAUUUAAAGUUUGAAAUUUGAAAUUUAAAAUUUAAAAUUUAAAAUUUGAGAUUUUAAAUUUUAAAUUUUAAUUUCAAAAUUUGAAAUUUUAAAGUUAAAAUUUUAAAUUAAAAAUAUAAAUUUUUAAUUUUAAAUUUUAAAUUCAAAUAUAAUGAGAGGAUAAUAUCAUUAUUUUUUAUUUAUAACUACCCACUAUCCUUCUUAUUCUAUUUUACCUAACCAAACGUUAUUUUUCUUAUUAUCAGGAAUAAUCCAAUUUUCAUCCAAACGCAAAAUUGAUCUAAUCCCCGCUUAUAUCUCAAUUUAUACCUAGAUACUAGGUUGCGUUUGGUUCGGAUAUAAGUAAGAACCGCUAGUUCCAUGAAUAGAUACAAAUUCAAGUAUAAACAGGAACUAAAUCAAUUUUGCGAUAAAAAUUGGGUUGUUCCUAGGAAUAAGAUAAAUAGAUACAAGUUCAAGUAUAAACAGGAACUAGAUCAAUUUUGCGAUGAAAAUUGGGUUGUUCCUAGGAAUAAGGUAAAUAGAGUUUGGAUGGUUAAAUUGAAACAAAAGUAAUAAGAGUUAUAAUUUGAAAAUAAAAUUAUAUUACGUAAUUAAUUAACAUCAAAAUAUUACUUAAAAAUAAAUAAUAAAUUAAUUAUUAAUAGUUAAUUAUUAAUAAUAAUAAUUAUUAAUAAAUUUAAAUAAUUAAUUAUAAAUAAUAAAUUAAUAAUAUCAAUUAUCUAAUUAAUAAUAAUAAUAA
rnacentral:lncRNA from 1 species